rnacentral:rRNA from 1 species
GAUCCUGGCUCAGGAUGGACGCUAGCGACAGGCUUAACACAUGCAAGUCGAGGGGCAGCGGGGUGUAGCAAUACACCGCCGGCGACCGGCGCACGGGUGAGUAACGCGUAUGCAACUUGCGUAUCAGAGGGGGAUAACCCGGCGAAAGUCGGACUAAUACCGCAUGAAGCAGGGUAUCCCGCAUGGGAAUAUUUGCUAAAGAUUCAUCGCUGAUAGAUAGGCAUGCGUU